rnacentral:lncRNA from 1 species
CGUAUUUUAGGAUUCUCAAGAUACAGAAAAGGGCUUCAAAUUUGAGGAUGAACACGUGACACUUCAAUUGAAAGACAGAUAAAAGCAUGUCAUGUUAGUACCCUUACACAGCCAAAGCAACUGCUCAAAGGCCAUUUUUCUGACAAAUAAUUAAAUAGUACAAAGAGCACAAAACCUUCUGAGUUAAAUCUUGCCUUAAUUGGCAAAGAUAAUCUCUUCUCCAGUCAACACUCUACUGCUUUGACUCAUUCCUGCAGAGUUCAAAGACUUAUUUUUCAAGACAAUACAGAUAAAUGUUGCAGGUUUAAUCAAGGUACACAUAAAUAUACUUUUCUAGCAAUAGCAUGAGCUUGCCACUUUUGUUUGUUUUUUUUCUUUUUUGAUACAGAUAAUGUUGUAUUCAUCAGCAUUAAGGAUAUGCUGGAGACCUCCAAAAAUUGGUUUCCAACAAGAGAAAAAACAAAAAAGCCUAAUAGAUUACAAAGUGCCUAUAAAAUCCAAAAUUUGUGCAGCUUCUUCUAUUUUAACAGAAGAGACCCGUAAAAUUGCAAUUCAUGGAUUCAUAUACUUCCAUUAUCAAAAACAACAUAAGCAACUAGUCUUACGGCAGAAUUUUCUAAAAUCAAUAAAUUGAGGUUCAGAUCUGUGUUUACCUCUGGCAGAAAGAGAGUUCAACGACACCAUGGCUGCAAAAACCAACAGAAAAUGUGGUGCAUGCACCGCCAAGAUAUGGGUCAAAUUUAUCUCAAAUGCCCGAUUAGUAUUAGCUUAGGAGGGACGAAAGAUUUACAAAAUCAUCAUUGCCUCUUUCAAGCCAUCAAUUAUACUCAUCACCACCUGCAUAACUUGUCUCAAAGGCGGAUCCAGGAUAAAGUUAAUGCAUUCUAGACAAUAACUUUUCUCCGGAGGUGAAUCCAGGACUUUGUUUAUUGGGCUAUUGAUAGAUUAUUACACAUAUUAGCUGAAGUUCUUAAAACAAAUACAGGGUUUUGGCCUAGGUUUUACUGAAUUGAUAGCUUCCAAAACGACAGAGAAAGUACAACAACAUACCCAGUGUAAUACCACAAGUGGGUUGGGGGAGGGUAGAGUGUACAUAGACCUUACCCCUACUUUGUAGAAAUAGAGAGGUUGUUUCCAAUAGACUCUUGGCUAAGUAACGCAUCUCAAAGCAGCCUAGCAACACCAUGGCAGAGAGAAAGUGAGGCUCAGAUAUGUGUUAAGCUCGAGCAAAAAGAGAGUUCGGCGAUGCCAUGGCUGCAAUAACCACCAGAAACUCUGGGAGCAUGCCCUGCCAAGAUACGGGUUGGAUAAUCUCAAAGUCUGAUUGAUAAGCUCAUAAAGGUAUAAAAGAUUGACAAAAUCCUCAUCGCCUCUUUCAAGCCGUCAAUUAUGCUCACCACCACCUGUAUAACUCUAACCAGUCUCCAAGCAAGCAAACCCUAAAUACAAAAUAUUUUUCAAACUGACAUAAAGGCUCAGAUCUGUGUUUAAGCUCGGGCAAAAAGAGAGUCCGGCAACGCCAUGGCAGCAAAACAACUAGAAAAUGGGAGCAUGCCCUGUCAAGAUACGGGUCAGAUAAUCUCAAAUGCCCGAUUAAUCAGUUCAAAGCGGGAUGACAAUUCGACAAAAUCAUCAUUGCCUUCAUCAAACCAUUGAUGAUACUCGCCACGUACACCGCCAAAAUUCAAUGGUCCGGCAGAAGCAUUUAAAAAAGAGAAUAGAUGGUAUUAGCAUGCAUAGCAUGAAAGGGUAUGAAACCCUUAAUUAAUACUCCCUCAGUAAGAUUGAUAAAAGGGCUGUUGGGAUCCGGCAGAAGCAUUGAAAAAAGUAAAAAAAGUUGAAGGGCACAGAAAUCAUCUGCAACAAUAUGUAACAACCAUCCAAGCGAGCUGCUAAUAAUACACUCAAAC